AGGGUGGAGUUGCUUCUUCAAGUUGGAGCAUUUUGUGUGGCAGUUGGUGCGUUGAUUGCAGCUAUACAGCUAUACACAAAAACAUGGCACCAAGAACUUACACUCAAGAAGACAACAAGUUAGAUCGAGUGGAAGGGUGCCAAGAAGGAGGAAACAGCGCACAAAAAUCAUAAACUUGAUGACCCGCGCAGCUAAGCAGUAGCAAGAAAUCAUCUGCAGCAGACAAAGGCAACCCUCACAUACCAGAUGCAGCUCCCAACUUCAACAAUACCCACCCACCGAAGAGCAGCACAAGAAGCUAAUUAGCCAACCAAGCAGCCUACAACUCUCAAGAACCGGCGAAGGCAGCAGCAGCACCAAGAACCCGAACUUACAGGGGAAUAUCGGCAGAAUUAAAAAUGGACGGGUCCAAUCCCCAGCAAUGUCGAAUCCUCCUAUUUCUAUAAGUGUUGCAACAUUUCUGAUAUGACACGUUUACGUGAUCAAAUACUUAUGAAUUUAGGAAGUAAUAAAUGAUAUUUGUAAUUUUUAAUGAUAAUGAGCUUCUUUCCUCAAA